rnacentral:lncRNA from 1 species
CCCCCAGCCCCCCCCCCACCUCACGCAUGCUGGGCGAUGUCGUUGAGGCGCUGCUGCACCUCCUGUGUCUGCAGCUGCUCCCAGGUCAGCAGCGACAGCCCCAGCUGCUCCUCCUGGGGGGUCAAAGGUCACGGGGUCAAAGGUCACGGGGUCAGGGGUCACGCGGGGCCGGGGGUCACGUGGGAUCAAGGGUCACAAGAAGGGAUCACGGGUUACAGGGGGUCACGGGGUUACAGUGGUCAGGGAUCAUGGGGUCGGAGGUCAUGUGAUCGUGGGUCACGGGUCAGAGGUCGCAGGGGUCACAGGGUCAAAGUCAUAGGGGUCACAGGGUUGAGGUCAAGGCGUCCCAGUGGUCCCAGGGCUCCCAGAGGUCACAGGGUUGGGGUCACAAGGGUCACAGGGGUCAGAGGUCACAAGGGUCACAGGGGUCAGGGGUCACAGGGGUCAGGGGUCACAGGGGCCAUAGGGGUCACAGGUUUGGGGUCACAGGGGUCUCAGGGGUGACGCGGUUGAGGUCAAGAGGUCACAGGGGUCACGGGUUCAAAUGGGUCAGGGGUCACAGGGGUCACAGG